rnacentral:rRNA from 1 species
AUUGAACGCUGGCGGCAGGCCUAACACAUGCAAGUCGAGCGGAUGAAGGGAGCUUGCUCCUGGAUUCAGCGGCGGACGGGUGAGUAAUGCCUAGGAAUCUGCCUGGCAGUGGGGGAUAACGUCCGGAAACGGGCGCUAAUACCGCAUACGUCCUGAGGGAGAAAGUGGGGGAUCCUCGGACCUCACGCUAUCAGAUGAGCCUAGGUCGGAUUAGCUAGUUGGUGGGGUAAAGGCCUACCAAGGCGACGAUCCGUAACUGGUCUGAGAGGAUGAUCAGUCGCACUGGAACUGAGACACGGUCCAGACUCCUACGGGAGGCAGCAGUGGGGAAUAUUGGACAAUGGGCGAAAGCCUGAUCCAGCCAUGCCGCGUGUGUGAAGAAGGUCUUCGGAUUGUAAAGCACUUUAAGUUGGGAGGAAGGGCAGUAAGUUAAUACCUUGCUGUUUUGACGUUACCAACAGAAUAAGCACCGGCUAACUUCGUG